rnacentral:rRNA from 1 species
UACGUAGGGCGCAAGCGUUAUCCGGAAUUAUUGGGCGUAAAGAGCUCGUAGGCGGUUUGUCGCGUCUGCCGUGAAAGUCCGGGGCUCAACUCCGGAUCUGCGGUGGGUACGGGCAGACUAGAGUGAUGUAGGGGAGACUGGAAUUCCUGGUGUAGCGGUGAAAUGCGCAGAUAUCAGGAGGAACACCGAUGGCGAAGGCAGGUCUCUGGGCAUUAACUGACGCUGAGGAGCGAAAGCAUGGGGGAGC